AGCAGCAUGGCUUAGUGGAAAGAGCACAGACCUGGGAGUCAGAGGUCAUGGGUUCUAACCCCAGCUCUGCUA
rnacentral:tRNA from 1 species